rnacentral:rRNA from 1 species
CUUUUUUAGUUCCUUCCCUUUCGUAUCUUUUGGGUUUUAUAAUGUCGUUCAAGUCGUGGUUUCUUGCACAUACCGACUUCUUUCAGUGUUGUCCUUCAUUUGAGUGUUGCCCAGCUCUGGUGGGUCAUUUUACGGAUCUUGCUGCUUAAUUUUCUAGCCUCUGCCCAUGAGAUGAAUAUCGCCCAGUGCAAGCCAUUGCGCCUGUGGGAGCAACAACGUUUAGUCUUUAUUCUGGGAUGUUCUUCUUGUCUCCCCUACUAUGGUGGCAGUUGUUGUGCGUGUGCAUUCGAUACCCAUUUGAGAUGGCAGUGUAUUUUGUUCAGCUAGUAUUUGGAUUGUUACUGUGGGCCAUUGGCCCCUCGGUCGCUCUCCUCGUGGGCUAGUUCUCUUGCGGAACAGUUCGACUUUUUGAUUCCCUUAUUUGGUGCCAUUUGGGCUCUCCCUAUGUCUCUUGGUACCAGAGGAUGCUUACUUGUGUGGCCUUGAGUGGCUCACCGCAUGGAUGUCCACCACUCGUCUCAUUUGGUAGUGAAAUGCAGGGCUCCAUUCAGGCCCUACUUUGGGUCCCAAGUGGUUCCCCCUUGAAAUCCUGACCUCUGUAAGGGAUGCAUUUAUUAGAAAAAAGGCCAGUGCGGCUUUGCCCGAUGCUUUGGUGAAUCAUGAUAACUCGACGGAUCACAUAGCCAUUGUGCUGGCGACGCAUCAUUCAAUUUUUUGCCCUAUCAACUUUCGAUGGUAGGAUAGGGGCCUACUAUGGUGGUGACGGGUGACGAAGAAUUAGGGUUGUAUUCCGGAGAGGGAGCCUGAUAAACGGCUACCACAUCCAAGGAAGGCAGUAGGCGUGCAAAUUACCCAAUUUUGACAUGGGGAGGUAGUGGCAAUAACUUACAAUACCGGGCUCCAAGAGUCUGGUAAUUAGAAUGAGUACAAUCUAAACCCAUUAACGAAGAUCCAUUGGAGGGCAAGUCUGGUGCCAGCAGCCGUGGUAAUUCUAACUCUAAUAGCGUAUAUUUAAGUUGUUGCAGUUAAAAAGCUCGUAGUUGGAUCUUGGGCUGAGUCGACUUGUCCGCCUUCAUGGUGUGCACUGGCCAUCCCGUCCCUUCACCCGGCGACGUGUUCCUCGCCUUACCUGGCCAGGUCGUGCCUUCGGCAUCGUUGCUUUGAAGAAAUUAGAGUGCUCAAAGCAAGCCUACGCUUUGAAUACAUUAGCAUGGGAUAACAUCACAAGAUUUUGAUCCUAUUGUGUUGGCCUUCGGGAUCGGAGUUAUGAUUAAGAGGGACAGUCGGGGGCUUCGUAUUUCAUAGUCAGAGGUGAAAUUAUUGGAUUUAUGAAAGACGAACCACUACGAAAGCAUUUUUCGAGGAUGUUUUCAUUAAUCACGAAUGAAAGUUGGGGGCUCGAAGACGAUAAGAUACCGUCCUAGUCUAAACCAUAAACGAUGCCGAUCAAGGAUCGACAGAUGUUGCUCUUAGGACUCCGUCUGUACCUUAUGAGAAAUCAAAGUCUUUGGGUUUCGGGGGGGAGUAUUGUCGCAAGGCUGAAACUUAAAGGAAUUGAUGGAAGGGCACCACUAGGAGUGGAGCCUGUGGCUUAAUUUGACUCAACAUGGGGAAACAUACCAGGUCCAGACAUAGUAAGGAUUGACAGGCUGAGAGCUCUUUCUUGAUUCUAUGGGUGGUGGUGCAUGCCCGUUCUUAGUUGGUGGGGCACUUUGUCUAGUUAAUUCCGUUAAUUCCACUGUGAUCCAUUUCCUUGACGCUUGACGCACCGGGGUUUUGUGUUUUGUUUUUGUGGGAAGAGCCUCUACCGAACCUCAAAGGUAGGGCCCACGCAAGGCUCUCCACCACAGCAUUCUCUCCACAUGUUUGCCAGUCUGUUUGUUGGGGCAGCCUUCAAAGAUCCUUCCACAGGUUCACAUAUGGAAUUCUUGUUACGACUUCUCCUUUCUGUAAAUGAUAAGGUUCAGUGGACUUCUCGAGACGUCGCCAACGGUGGACCGCCACCAUCGCCAUGAUCGAAACACUUCACUGGACCAUUCAAUCGGUAGGAGCGAUGGGCAGUGUGUAUAAAGGGCAGGGACGUAGUCAACGUGAGCUGAUGACUCGCGCUUACUAGGAAUUCCUCGUUGAAGACCAAUAAUUACAAUGAUCUAUCCCCAUCACAAUGAAAUUUCGACAGAUUACUCGAGCCUAUCGGCCAAGGCUAUAUACUCGUUGAAUACAUCAGCGUCGCGUGAAUCUGGCCCAGAACAUCUAAGGGCAUCACAGACCUGUUAUUGCCUCAAACUUCUAUGGCCUAAAUGGUCAUAGUCCCUCUAAGAAGCUAGCCGUGGAGGAUACAUACAUGAAGCUAGUUAAUAGGUUGAGGUCUCAUUCAGGGCACGCCUACCUGGUUGUCAAGCCAAAUGCCGCCCCCUCCUCACCCCUACGAGCACCAGUGCAAGGGCUCGGAGCACAAGAUGGUCACCCGUUCCCCUCCCCUCUCGUUGGUGGUGCGGUAGGCUCAAACCCAAGCCCACAACAUGCGAGUGAUGCGACAUCGGUGGCCUCCAUAGUGUGUCGCAUCGCACCGUGGCUUGGGUUGGCCCCCAGCAAACCCACAGACUCGCUUUUCGUGCAAAGACGCCGCACUACGACCCCAGGUCAGGCGGAGCCACCCGCUAAGUUUAAGCAUAUUAAUAAGCGGAGGAAAAGAAGCUUACCAGGAUUCCCCUAGUAACGGCGAGCGACCGGGAACUUCCCAGCAUGGAAAUCGAGCUGCCCCGCUGCGAAAAUUGUAGUCUGUAGAAGUGUCCUCAGCUUUGGACUAGGCACAAGUCCCUUGGUGUGCCCGGACCUUGCCACACCACGAGGUGCUGUUGGCGAGUCGGGUUGUUUGGGAAUGCAGCCCUAAUUGGGCGGUAAAUUAUGUCCAAGGCUAAAUACCAACGAGGGAGACCGAUAGCAAACAAGUACCGCGAGGGAAAGAUGAAAAGGACUUUCAA